rnacentral:tRNA from 1 species
GCGAGGGCAAUUCAGGGGUAGAAUGUCUGGCUUCCAACCAGAAUGUGGUGGGUUCGAGCCCCACUCCUCGCUCCA